rnacentral:rRNA from 1 species
GACAGAGGGUGCGAGCGUUGUUCGGAAUUACUGGGCGUAGAGCGCGUGUAGGCUGUUCGGCAAGUCGGGUGUGAAAGCCCUGGGCUCAACCUAGGAAGUGCACUCGAAACUCCCGAACUCGAGUCCCGGAGAGGAAGGCGGAAUUCUCGGUGUAGAGGUGAAAUUCGUAGAUAUCGAGAGGAACAUCGGUGGCGAAGGCGGCCUUCUGGACGGUGACUGACGCUGAGACGCGAAAGCGUGGGGAGCAAACAGG